AGAGUCGCCCGGAUCACCGCGUUGCGUAAGCACCGAGGAAAGUCCGGACUCCAGAGAGCAAGGUGGUGGGUAACGCCCACCCGGAGCAAUCCGCGGGAUCAGUGCCACAGAAAACAGACCGCUCAUGCAAAUGAGUAAGGGUGAAACGGUGGUGUAAGAGACCACCAGCAUUUACGGCAACGUAUAUGGCUAGGUAAACCCC
rnacentral:RNase_P_RNA from 1 species